rnacentral:rRNA from 1 species
AGAGUUUGAUCCUGGCUCAGAUUGAACGCUGGCGGCGUGCCUAACACAUGCAAGUCGAACGAGAAGUACGUAGCAAUACGUAUUGUAAAGUGGCGCACGGGUGAGUAACACGUGGGUAAUCUGCCCUUGAGUUUGGGAUAACCCCGCGAAAGCGGGGCUAAUACCCGAUAUGCUCACGACUACUGCGGUAGUUGUGAGAAAAGGUGGCCUCUGGCAUAAGCUAUCGCUUAAGGAUGAGCUCGCGGACCAUUAGCUAGUUGGUAGGGUAAUGGCCUACCAAGGCUAUGAUGGUUAGCUGGCCUGAGAGGGUGGCCAGCCACACUGGAACUGAGAUACGGUCCAGACUCCUACGGGAGGCAGCAGUGGGGAAUCUUGCGCAAUGGGGGAAACCCUGACGCAGCAACGCCGUGUGAGUGAUGAAGGCUUUCGGGUCGUAAAGCUCUGUCAGAUGGGAAGAAUUAGUCUGCUGAAAAUAUUGGCAGAUGAUGACGGUACCAUCGAAGGAAGCACCGGCUAACUCCGUGCCAGCAGCCGCGGUAAUACGGAGGGUGCAAGCGUUGUUCGGAAUUAUUGGGCGUAAAGCGCGUGUAGGCGGAUGAAUAAGUCAGGUGUGAAAUCCCUUGACUCAAUCAAGGAACUGCACUUGAAACUAUUUGUCUCGAGUACGAUAGGGGAGGGCGGAAUUCCCAGUGUAGAGGUGAAAUUCAUAGAUAUUGGGAGGAACACCAGUGGCGAAGGCGACCCUCUGGAUCGAUACUGACGCUGAGACGCGAAAGCGUGGGGAGCAAACAGGAUUAGAUACCCUGGUAGUC